GCCUGAAUUUCGGAUCACAAACUUGGUGGAUGAGUGGCAGUACAAGGCCUGGCUCACCUUCACGGAUUCCACUGGGCGCCAAUGCGUUGGUCAGUACUGCCACCCGGAUUCACCGCGGCCCGGUUCCUGGUUCAACGGCCGCGUGCUGUCGUUUUCGAAGGUCAAGCUCUUCUCCAACAAGAAAAAGAUCCCGAACCCGCCUCCGAUCACUCUGAGGUGUUACCGCACUUACCACAUCCAAGUGAAUGUUGGGAUUGUGGACGAUAACGGAUACAUCGUCAGCGCAUCGGUCGUCCGGCAAUCUGUUGGUGCCGACUUCAUUGCCGUCACCAGUAGCAUUACUAGGCGUCCAGUCAACAGCGGUACAAGACAGGCGCGCUGACUGAAGUUCUCAAGGCUGUUUAUGUAAUAACAGUAAUAAAUAAAUAUUUAUUUGUGAG
rnacentral:lncRNA from 1 species